AGAAUUUUAAGUUAAUAAAACUGUAAGUUUUCAAGACUUGUAAUAAAUAAAUAUAUUUAAAUUCUG
rnacentral:tRNA from 1 species